rnacentral:ribozyme from 1 species
CAUUCUUCUUCUUCUUUUUCUUCUUCUUCUUCUUCUUCCCCUUCCUCCCCCUCUACUUCCAAAAAGACAAAAUCAUCAAAGUCAGCCCCAACCGUGAAAAGUGUGAAAAAGUAAAUAUUCUCACUUUUCUUUCCCUCUCUCCUUCUCCUCCCCUCCUUUGGAAAAAUAAUAACACUGAAAAAUAAAAGAU